rnacentral:tRNA from 1 species
GGAAUAUAGCUCAGUUGGUAGAGUGCUUGUCUGAUAUGCAUAAGGCCCUGGGUUCAAUCCCCAACACCA